rnacentral:rRNA from 1 species
GUACUCCCAAUGUAUCCGGUUGAUCCUGCCGGACCCGACUGCUAUCGGAUAGAGAUUAAGCCAUGCGAGUCGAACAUUUCUCAACUAUGUGAGAAGUGUGGCAUACGGCUCAGUAACACGUGGUCAACCUACCCUAAAGACAUGGAUAACCCCGGGAAACUGGGAUUAAUAUAUGAUAGGUCAUUUUUCCUGGAAUCGGUUUAUGACUUAAAGGAUUGUUAAGCAUGUUUGAUUAAUUGCUUUAGGAUGGGACUGCGACCGAUCAGGUUGUUGGUGGGGUAAUGGCCUACCAAGCCGAUUACCGGUGCGGGCUUUGAGAGAAGGAGCCCGGAGAUGGACACUGAGAAAAGGGUCCAGGCCCUACGGGGCGCAGCAGGCGCGAAAACUUUGCAAUGUGCGAAAGCACGACAAGGUUAAUCCGAGUGCAACAUGCUGAAUGUAGCUUUUGGUAAAUGUAAAUAGUUUAUUGAAUAAGGGGAGGGAAAGUCUGGUGUCAGCCGCCGCGGUAAUACCAGCUCCCCGAGUGGUCGGGACGAUUAUUGGGCCUAAAGCAUCCGUAGCCUGUUCUGUAGGUCUUAUGUUAAAAUCAAUUGCUCAACAAUUGAACUGCAUGAGAUACCACAAAACUAGGAGGCGGGAGAGGUGGACGGUACUCCACGGGUAGGGGUAAAAUCCUCUGAACCGUGGAAGACCACCAGUGGCGAAGGCGGUCCACCAGAACGCGCUCGACGGUGAGGGAUGAAAGCUGGGGUAGCGAACCGGAUUAGAUACCCGGGUAGUCCCAGCUGUAAACGAUGCAAGCUAGGUGAUGCAU